UGAGGAAUAUUGGUCAAUGGGCGCGAGCCUGAUCCAGCCAUGCCGCGUGAAGGAAUAAGGCCCUAUGGGUUGUAAACUUCUUUUAGACGGGACAAAACCCCUUUACGUGUAAAGGGUUGAUGGUACUGUCAGAAUAAGCAUCGGCUAACUUCGUGCCAGCAGCCGCGGUAAUACGAAGGAUGCAAGCGUUAUCCGGAAUUAUUGGGUUUAAAGGGUGCGUAGGCGGACUAAUAAGUCAGUGGUGAAAGCCUGCAGCUUAACUGCAGAAUUGCCAUUGAUACUGUUAGUCUUGAGUACAGUUGAGGUAGGCGGAAUGUGUCAUGUAGCGGUGAAAUGCUUAGAUAUGACACAGAACACCAAUUGCGAAGGCAGCUUGCUAAGCUGUAACUGACGCUGAGGCACGAAAGCGUGGGGA
rnacentral:rRNA from 1 species